CGUAGGGUGCAAGCGUUAAUCGGAAUUACUGGGCGUAAAGCGUGCGCAGGCGGUUUUGUAAGUCUGUCGUGAAAUCCCCGGGCUCAACCUGGGAAUUGCGAUGGGGACAGCAAGGCUAGAAUCUGGCAGAGGGGGGUAGAAUUCCACGUGUAGCAGUGAAAUGCGUAGAGAUGUGGAGGAACACCGAUGGCGAAGGCAGUCCCCUGGGUCAAGAUUGACGUUCAUGCACGAAAGCGUGGGGAGCAAACAGGAUUAGAUACCCUGGUAGUCCACGUCCUAAACGAUGUCUACUAGUUGUCGGGUUUUAAUUAACUUGGUAACGCAGCUAACGCGUGAAGUAGACCGCUUGGGGAGUACGGUCGCAAGAUUA
rnacentral:rRNA from 1 species